rnacentral:lncRNA from 10 species
UUUCAGAUUCAGCAGUGAACAAGAGAAGGCCCAGCCCUGAGAGCAGCCAUGCUGGGAGAGAGGGUUGAAGUUUAUAUUUCAGAUGACAGAAAUCCACAGGGCACUUUCUGCACCCAGCCUGGCAUUAAGUGCUCCGUGAAUCUGACCCCAUUCAGUCCCGACCACAGCUCUCAGGGGAGGCUGCGCUUGCCUGUGCUACAGACACGGACCCUGGGCAUGGGGACCGCAAGUGACCUCCAGGGUCACCACUCAGGAGGGACACAGCCAGCAUUGGCACACAGGUGGUCCGGCUCCUGCUCCCAAGCCCUGCCGGAUGCUGGUAAUAAACACACAAGAACACGGUGCCCCAGAGUGACGAGAGUCAAGAACAAGCGUCUCUGAGUGACUGCUCUGCUGGCUGGGUGGGCAGUCAGGGCGGCCUCUCGGAGGAGGCGGCCUUUGAGCAGAGACUACAGUGGAGAGAAAGCGUGGGCUUGGCUGCAGAAUGUGGACUGAGGGGUAAGUAUGAGGAGCGUAGCCAGUGGCUGGGCCAGACAUGGAGGGUCAGGAGUUUCCCCACCAUAGACGGCUGCCAGGGGAGCUCCUAGAUGUCGACCUGGUGUGUCCUCUGCAAACUGCCAGCCUCAUGAUCUCAUCACCCUGACCUUGUAGUUCCACCAGCUCAGGCCCUGGCACCCCCAGCCCCCACUCUUUCUUAAGAGGAGAAUCCAAGUGCACCCCAUGACCCCUUCCCGGGCCUGUCUCACUCCAUCUCCUCCCCUGCCCCUCGUUCCCUGGUUCCAUCCCAAGGCCAUGUUGUUCCCAUUCUGCCUCCAAGGAAGCAAGUUCCGAGAAGCAAAGACAUUCCCCAUGGUCGGCCAAUGGGAAAGUGGAAGAAAUGGGGUUUCAACCCAGGUCAGAACCUGGUUCUGAGCCUAAGCCACUUCCCCUGCGAAGUCCUGGGGGGUGACUAGCAAGGCUGGCUGACAGCUUGGCUUUGGACAGGAUAAGGUUGAGGUACCUGAGGGACCUCCUGGGAGAUGGGAGCACUUGGUCUGGAACCUGUAACCUGGAAGAGAGAGCUGGGCUAGAGAUGAGGAUCCCACAGAUGGGGCCGGAGGUGAAAAUCCCACAGAUGGGGCUGGAGGAGAGGAACCCACAGAUGGGGCUGGAGGUGAGGAUCCCACAGAUGGGGCUGGAGGUGAGGAUCCCAUAGAUGGGGCUGGAGGUGAGGGUCCCACAGAUGGGGCUGGAGGUGAGGGUCCCACAGAUGGGGCUGGAGCUGAAAAUCCCACAGAUGGUACCUGAGGUGAAAACCCCACAGAUGGGGCUGGGUCAUAUCAACCCCUCAAGGGCAGGAGGAGAGGAGUAGCCAGCAGAGAGGUUGCUCACCUUCACUCCUCAGCAACCCCCUUCCACCAGCCCAUUCUGAAGACUGCAAACUGAAGCAGGAGGUGCGGUCACCCGGCCUCUGUGCUGCAAUGCAGGCUGGAUCCUGGGCCAGUGUCUUGGCGUUGCUGCCCCCAUGGCUGGACCCCCUGUGAGCCCUCAGCGUCCUCCCUCUUAUCCCACAGCCCAGAGAUGGCUCAGGGUUUUGUGGGAAUCAUGAUGAAUUGGUUGAGAGUCUCACAAUUGCCGGGAAGGGGAAUAAUGAGUUGGAGCUUACAGUGUGGAAUGGCAGGGAAGAGAUGGGCAGGGAAGAGAUGGGCAGAGAGGUGCUGGCAGCUCAUUUCU